CCUACGGGUGGCAGCAGUGAGGAAUAUUGGUCAAUGGUCGGGAGACUGAACCAGCCAAGCCGCGUGAGGGAUGAAGGUCCAGAGUAUCGUAAACCUCUUUUGUCAGGGAACAAAGGCGGGGACGUGUCCCCGGAUGAGUGUACCUGAAGAAAAAGCAUCGGUUAAGUCCGUGCCAGCGGCCGCGGUAAUACGGGGGGUGCGAGCGUAAUCCGGAUUUAUUGUGGUAAAGGGGUGCGCAGGCGGGUGGUUAAGUCAGCGUGAAAAGCCCGGGGCCCAACCCGGGCCCGCCGUUGAAACUGGCAGUCUCGAGUUGGAGAGAGGUAUGCGGAAUGCGCGGUGUAGCGGUGAAAUGCAUAGAGAUCGCGCAGAACUCCGAUGGCGAAGGCAGCAUGCCGGCUCCACACUGACGCUGAGGCACGAAAGCGUGGGUAUCGAACAGGAUUAGAUACCCCUGUAGUC
rnacentral:rRNA from 1 species